AUGUCAGUCAACAGGAUGCUGUCAAAAAAAGAGGCUCAGAGGUCGUUCAGCAAUGGGCCGCUGAGAGACCGGUGGGAGCAGAGAGCCCAGAGCAUGGCAGACCAGUGCAAACAGGAGGCUGAGUGGAGAGAGAAGAGCGCCCUCAAAGGGCUGUACUCAAAGUGGACUUAUCACUGGUCGCUUGGUUCAAACGGAGACAUGUCUGACUUCAGCAAGCUCACCCGCAGGAAAGAGGAGGACGAUAACAGGCCCAAAAUUAAGUUCAAAAUUGUUCCUCCGCCACCGAAACCCAAACCGGAACCUCCUCCUCCUCCGCCUCCUCCUCGGAGGAAAGCGUCCCCUAAACCUCGCAGGCCCAAACGCAAAGUGGAGGUGGACGUGUUUCGGCUGUGCUGGAAGGAGUCGUGGAUGAGCCUGAAGCCUCCCAAGUAUCUCUACCUGAAGGCGAGAGAGCUGAGAAACACAACCUCAGGAUUCGCAGCCAUAGAGUUGAGUGAUGAAGGGAAGUACAAAGCAAAGCGGUGCCGCUCAGAGGCCGAACUGCCGUCUCCUCGGGAGAAAUGGAUCCUCUCCUGGACGCAGGUGAAGAGUCCGGCCCAGGUGAAGCCUUAUGACGGAAGCUCGUUCCAGUGGGAGAUUCUGUUUGAAAGAGAGGUGGUUUGGGAGGCAGAGAUAGGGACGUAUUCUCUUCCUGUCUGGGCUGGAACCUGGAAGAUUAUGAACUUUGCCUUCAGACAACAGAAACACAAAUGGGAUGGAAUUUGGCCUGAAAACUUUAUCAAGAAGCCUGAAAGGUUCCAGCAUCUGGAGACACAGGAUGAGCUCGCGGACUGGGAGUGUUCCUGGAAGCUGUCUGGACCAGAACUAGAAUGUGAAACCAUCACAGCCAGUGAAAGCUUGAACGCACCCUCCUCCAGCAGCACAGUGACAGUGAGGGUAGACGUGUUCCUGCCAGACUGGAGCAGCUCCUGGCUGCUCGCUGCUGCUCCUCCGGAGGAGGAUCAGGAGCGGCGGCAGAACUGGUUCUGCAGCUGGGGCUACAGGCAGCAGAUCAGGUGGCGCAAGGCUUCACUGAAGUCCCAUCAUCAGCACAGUAAGAUGUUGACGCAGAGACGAAAAGGCACAAGCCUCUUCCUUGUGUCACAGCUGGAUGACGAGAGCCCAGACGUCAUGGAAUGGAUGGAAGCAUGGAUCACUCCUAAAGGAUGUGUUGAAAUAGAAACGGAAGGACAGCAGGUUGAAGAAGAAGAAGAAGAAAAGGAAGUGGAAGUUAAGAGGAAGCAAGAGGAGGAUGAGGAUGAAGUAGACAGUGUGCUGAACAUUGAAACAUAUGAUGAGGAGGAGGAGAAAGAUGAAGGAGUAGAUGAGGAGGAAGAAGGAGAGGAGAAGAAUGAAGGGGUGGAGCAGGCAGAGGAGAAGGAGGAUGAGGUGCUGGUAUAUGUUGCUAUAAAUGAAGAAGACAAGAAAGGACUACCAAAGAAAAGGGAAGAUGUAGACAUCAGACAAUUAGAAAUGGAAAAGGAAUAUGACGAAGAUAAGGAUGAAGAGGAUGAAGGAGUAGACGAGGAGGAGGAAGGUGAGGAGGAAGAAGUAUCUGAGAAGGAAGAGGAUGCCAAUGUAGAAGAGGAGAAGAAGAAAGAUGGGGAGGACAGUGAGCAAAAAGACAAAGAGAAGGACAUAGCUGAGGAGGAUGAAGAGGAGGAGGAGGAGGAGGGGGACGAUCAAGGCAAGGAGGAUGACAGUGAGAGAAAAGUCAAAGAGGAGGAGAGGGAAGACAAUGGAGCAGAGGAGAAAGUAAACAACAGAAAUGAAAGGUGCGAGGAAGAGGAGGAGGAAGAUGACAAACAAUCAGACGUGGAUGAGACAGAUGAGGGAGAAGACAAAGACGUAGAAGUGAAAAACAAUGCUGAUGACAGAGAGGAGCAUGAUCAAGAUGAAGAUGAAGAUGUCAAGAAGAUGGACGAAGGGCAUGAAGUCCUGGAGGAGGAGGAGGAGGAGGAGGAGGAGAAGGAGGAGAAGGAGGGGGAGGAGGAGGAUUAG
rnacentral:lncRNA from 1 species